rnacentral:misc_RNA from 1 species
GUGUUAUUAACUUUUAUAAAAACGUUCAUGCACAUACAAAAAGGGUUUUGUAAAUAGAAAACAUAGGCCAAUCUCUUAGCCUACAAGAGGUUCACAGGUUUUGAAAAGGGGACAGAGAGGUGUGCACGGAGAAGACCAGCAACAACCUCUCCUUGAAUUGUUUUUCAAUAAUGAUCCUUCCGCAGGUUCACCUACGGAAA